AGAUUGAACGCUGGCGGCAUGCUUUACACAUGCAAGUCGAACGGCAGCACGGGGGCAACCCUGGUGGCGAGUGGCGAACGGGUGAGUAAUGCAUCGGAACGUAUCUUCAAGUGGGGGAUAACGCAUCGAAAGAUGCGCUAAUACCGCAUAAUCUCCGAGGAGAAAAGCAGGGGAUCGCAAGACCUUGCGUCUUUGGAGCGGCCGAUGUCUGAUUAGCUAGGUUGGUGAGGUAAAGGCUUACCAAGGCUUACG
rnacentral:rRNA from 1 species